rnacentral:tRNA from 1 species
GCCCGGGUGGCGGAAUUGGUAGACGCGCACGACUCAAAAUCGUGUGAGGAAACUCAUGCCGGUUCGAUUCCGGCCCUGGGCACCA